rnacentral:rRNA from 1 species
UACGGAGGGUGCAAACGUUGCUCGGAAUUAUUGGGCGUAAAGCGCACGUAGGCGGUUCGUUAUGUCGGAUGUGAAAGCCCUCGGCUUAACCGAGGAAGUGCAUCCGAAACUGGCGAGCUUGAGUACGGAAGAGGGUCUCGGAAUUCCCGGUGUAGAGGUGAAAUUCGUAGAUAUCGGGAGGAACACCAGUGGCGAAGGCGGAGACCUGGGCCGAUACUGACGCUGAGGCGCGAAAGCCAGGGGAGCGAACGGG